UCCCAGACAACUAUAUCACAUGCGAGUCCUCUCGAAUAAGCACGCGAAGCCAAAGAGGCUGCACCCAUUCUGACCCCAUCCUCUCUAAAUACUUUUCCGCUCACUCCUUGAACCUCCCACGAGGAGGCGCUCGAAAUCACGGUGACGUCAUGCUGCUGCAUCACGUGAACGUGCUGAAGAUGGCGAAGGGUGCUCCAUUGGGCGGUGUUACGUUUCUCCGCUUCCGGAUCCUAACUUCCGCUUUGCGUCGGCGAGGGGUCUGGUUGCCUGGAGCGCUCAGGUCUAGUCCCGGGGUUGCACGUCAGACGGACCUACCGUAAGCCAGCUCUAGACUCCGACCCGUCAGUUCUUUGUUCCCUGUAAAAACACAACCGAACCGUCAACAUGGCAGAU